rnacentral:rRNA from 1 species
AUUGGACGCUGGCGGCAGGCCUAACACAUGCAAGUCGAGCGGAUGAAGGGAGCUUGCUCCUGGAUUCAGCGGCGGACGGGUGAGUAAUGCCUAGGAAUCUGCCUGGUAGUGGGGGAUAACGUCCGGAAACGGGCGCUAAUACCGCAUAUGUCCUGAGGGAGAAAGUGGGGGAUCUUCGGACCUCACGCUAUCAGAUGAGCCUAGGUCGGAUUAGCUAGUUGGUGGGGUAAAGGCCUACCAAGGCGACGAUCCGUAACUGGUCUGAGAGGAUGAUCAGUCACACUGGAACUGAGACACGGUCCAGACUCCUACGGGAGGCAGCAGUGGGGAAUAUUGGACAAUGGGCGAAAGCCUGAUCCAGCCAUGCCGCGUGUGUGAAGAAGGUCUUCGGAUUGUAAAGCACUUUAAGUUGGGAGGAAGGGCAGUAAGUUAAUACCUUGCUGUUUUGACGUUACCGACAGAAUAAGCACCGGCUAACUUCGUG